GUGUUCACUUAGGCAGCACAUAUACUAAAAUUGGAAUGAUACACAGAAGAUUGGCAUGGUCCCUGCGCAAGGAUGACACACAAAUCUGUGAAGCAUUCCAUAUGAAA
ensembl:snRNA U6 U6 spliceosomal RNA